UGGUAUUUCAAAUUAUCUGACAAAGCAAAAUGCAAUGCAAGAGGGCAUAAAGAAUUAACAUGGCCACACAAGUCAAGGGCCAACUACACAUCUACGACCCAAUAUUCAGUUUUAUGCUAAUACAAUAGAGGAAAUGUGAUUGUGAUUGUCUAGUUAUGUGAGCAAGUCUACAGCAUGGCUCUGCUAUGUCUGUAAAAUUCCCCUAGAUAAUAGGAACAUUAGUAAG